rnacentral:rRNA from 1 species
GACGAACGCUGGCGGCGUGCCUAAUACAUGCAAGUCGAGCGGACCUCUUCGGAGGUCAGCGGCGGACGGGUGAGUAACACGUGGGCAACCUGCCUGUAAGACUGGGAUAACUUCGGGAAACCGGAGCUAAUACCGGAUAAUCCUUUCCUUCUCAUGUGGGAAAGCUGAAAGACGGCGCAAGCUGUCACUUACAGAUGGGCCCGCGGCGCAUUAGCUAGUUGGUGGGGUAACGGCCCACCAAGGCGACGAUGCGUAGCCGACCUGAGAGGGUGAUCGGCCACACUGGGACUGAGACACGGCCCAGACUCCUACGGGAGGCAGCAGUAGGGAAUCUUCCGCAAUGGACGAAAGUCUGACGGAGCAAAGCCGCGUGAGCGAAGAAGGCCUUCGGGUCGUAAAGCUCUGUUGUCAGGGAAGAACAAGUACCGGAGUAACUGCCGGUACCUUGACGGUACCUGACCAGAAAGCCACGGCUAACUACGUGCCAGCAGCCGCCGUAACAC